GCGGCGGCAACUGAUGAGAGAUUGUUCUUUCACGAUUCUGAUUUUUCUUGAGCAAUCGAUUAUCGGCAUCGAAGUUUAUGUAAAAGAUGGAGAUUGUUCGAGAAAGAUUUGGAAAUAGACAGAUAAACUUAGAUCUAGGGUUUCUGUUAGAUAUAAAGUCUGGUUUAUUAGAUUAGUUUUGCUUGAAGUAUCUCUUACUAUGGAAAGGUUUGAUUUCUAUUCAUCUCGAUUUUAUCAAUUGAUUUUUUGGAGAUGAAAGUGUUUUGCGUGUUUAAUCGAGGGUUAUGAGUUUGUGAUGCGGUGAUUCUGAUUCAAAGAUGUUUGCUUGCAUAGCGUUUUCAUGUCCGAAAUUCAAUCGAUGGAGAUUCAUUUAAGGAUAAGAGUGAUUGAACAAGAAACCCUAAUUGCUGUACCUAGUCACAUUGUUGGACAAUCUGAGGUGGAAGCUUCUAAAGAGGGAAGAAGGGAGAAGGCUGGCAGAUUUUAAGUACGUAUGUGUGUGCUAUUCAGUGCACAUGGAUAGCAAAGAUAAAGAUCCAUCUACUAAUGCUGAUGCAGGGGCAAGAAACCCAUCAAAUCCACAAGGGAAAUAUUCUGAAUUGCCGUUUUGUACUGGUAUUGAGCAGCAACAGCAAGCCAAGCUCCAGGACAUGUUCCAGGCCGUGCUCCAGCACAUGCUCGUAAAACGGAAGGUACCAACUCACUUCCUCUAGGUGCUGAGACGUAUUAUUAGAGCAGGUUAGGCGAAGUGUUUCAGAUUUGAGAGCGAAAGACAACGAAAGACUAAGCAAGAGAAGGCAGAGACUGUUAUGUGAGUUCUGUGCUUGUUUAUUCUUAUAUGCUCUUAGUUGUAAACAAUUGUUGUAUGAGCAUUAUGCCGCACAUAACUUAGGAAUUCUCUUAAGUUUCUAAGCAGAUGUGGUAUUCCUCAAAACUUAGGAAUAAUGUUAAGUAGGUGUUGAAAGAAUACAACAAGUUACUGUUGACACCAUGUAUUCCCUUAGAAAUUUGAUACUUAACAAACAAAAAAAAGUAUGGUACCUAGA